AGACGUCUACAUUAGACUACCCCUGUAGUCCCAGCCGUAAACUAUGCGCGUUAGGUGUAUCGGUGACCACGAGUUACCGAGGUGCCGAAGGGAAACCGUGAAACGUGCCGCCUGGGAAGUACGGUCGCAAGGCUAGAAACUUAAAGGAAUUGGCGGGGAGCACCACAACGGGUGGAGCCUGCGGUUUAAUUGGACUCAACGCCGGGAAGCUCACCGGAUAAGACAGCGGAAUGAUUGCCGGGCUGAGGACUCUGCAUGACUAGCUG
rnacentral:rRNA from 1 species